rnacentral:rRNA from 1 species
CCCUUAGAUGCUCUGGGCCGCACGCGCGCUACACUGUUCGACGCAGCGAGUCUUAACCUUGACCGAAAGGUUUGGGUAAUCUUCAGCAAAGUCGAACGUGAUGGGGAUCGAUCAUUGCAAUUAUUGAUCGUGAACGAGGAAUUCCUAGUAAGUGCAAGUCAUCAGCUUGCGUUGAUUACGUCCCUGCCCUUUGUACACACCGCCCGUCGCUACUACCGAUUGAAUGGUUUAGUGAGAUCUCUGGAUUGACGCUGGCUAGGGGGCGACCCUUGGCCAGACUGCUCGAGAAACUGCUCAAACUUGAUCAUUUAGAGGAAGUAAAAGUCGUAACA